rnacentral:lncRNA from 1 species
AAUCAUCUAAAGAACCUACUUGCUUCAAAGAUAACAACAAUUCAAAAGGAUUUUGUAUCAUAGAGGGUUGGAACCUUCUUACCACAGCCAAUUUGAAUGCUUCCCAUGAUGGUGAUGGAUUGCACCUCUCCCACCAUUGAAACCAACUGAGAGCUCUUCCUUCCAAAGCCACCAUAGUUGCCUGCAUCCUUUCUUCCUCAGUUACCUCCCUCAGAGCAAAAUAACGCUCCAAUUUCUGAGUCCAACCAACUGCAUCAGAUCCAGAAAAGACUGGGAUUUCCAAUUUCCUCCAUCGAUUCUUGAUAGGAACUCGAUUUCGCUCCUCUCUGCUCCUUCUUCCAUCGGUUUCGUCUUCCUCAGAGAAAUCCCGAUCGUGAUUCUCCAACCUUGCUCGCAGCGCUGCAAUGAGAUCCUC